AACGCAUAUUGCGCCUUCUGGUAUUCCGGAAGGCAUGCUUGUUUGAGUAUCAGUAACAACCUCAACUCUUCUUCAUUGCGGAGAAAGAGUUGGAUUUGAGCAUUUCCACAAGUUCGUCUUGGAGGAUUGCUUGAAAUAUGAGGUUCGGCCGGCAGUUGCCUGGGCUACAAGCAUUUCAUACUUAAUCCCGUCAAACGGAUUAUAUCCUUUGCUGCAGCCAACAUACAGGGUAACUUUGCCAGUGUUCCGACUGAUGCAGGAAAGUUGAGGACUUUGCUUCUCUUCUAAACUCGAUCUCAAAUCAAGUAAGACUACCCGCUGAACUUAA
rnacentral:misc_RNA from 1 species